UACGAAGGGAGCUAGCGUUGUUCGGAAUUACUGGGCGUAAAGGGCGCGUAGGCGGACAUCUAAGUCAGGGGUGAAAUCCCAGGGCUCAACCCUGGAAUUGCCUUUGAUACUGGACGUCUCGAGUUCGGGAGAGGUGAGUGGAAUUCCGAGUGUAGAGGUGAAAUUCGUAGAUAUUGGGAAGAACACCGGUGGCGAAGGCGGCUCUCUGGCCCCGCAACUGACGCUGAGGCGCGAAAGCGUGGGGAGCAAACAGG
rnacentral:rRNA from 1 species